AGGAUCUUUGCAAUUUAGUAAUGAAGUUAGAAUGAGUAUUCCUAAUUUACUUGCAGCAUGAAAAUGCACAUCCCAAUGUAUAGAAAAUUUGGAUCAUCUCUUUUUAUGGCACAGCAGCAAAGGAGCUACUGGAAUUUGUCUCUGAUGUCUUAGAUGGACACUAACAACAUGAAUCUCUGUCAUUUUCCUCUUCAUGUAAAAUAUAGAUGUCAGGUUCUGUGAUGCAAAGUAGCAAAACACUAAGUGCAGAAGCUAUACAAAUUUCAUUGGGAUUCCCAAAGGAAUUUUACUCAUCCUAGCAAGUACACUUUAAACUGAUUAUGUAGCUGUCAAUUAUUUUGCUGUUCUGUGUACUGAGUUUACUUGAACUGUAUUCUUUAUUACAACUAAAAUAAACCACUGCAGUGGAUUGUUUUUUCUCUGCUAAAUAAAUGAAUAUAGAAUAUGCAUACGUAA